rnacentral:rRNA from 1 species
UGGGGAAUUUUGCGCAAUGGGGGAAACCCUGACGCAGCAACGCCGCGUGAGUGAUGAAGGCCUUCGGGUCGUAAAGCUCUGUCAGAGGGGAAGAAGUGCAUGGGCGCUAAUAUCGCUUAUGCUUGACGGUACCCUCAAAGGAAGCACCGGCUAACUCCGUGCCAGCAGCCGCGGUAAUACGGAGGGUGCGAGCGUUGUUCGGAAUUAUUGGGCGUAAAGCGCGUGUAGGCGGUUUUUUAAGUCUGAUGUGAAAGCCCUGGGCUCAACCCGGGAAGUGCAUUGGAAACUGGGAGACUUGAAUACGGGAGAGGGCAGUGGAAUUCCUGGUGUAGGAGUGAAAUCCGUAGAUAUCAGGAGGAACACCGGUGGCGAAGGCGGCUGCCUGGACCGAUAUUGACGCUGAGACGCGAAAGCGUGGGGAGCAAACAG